GGUAUGGUUAUUUUUCUGAUUGCUUGC
rnacentral:sRNA from 1 species